AGAAAAGCAGCGGGAGGAGUGAGUGGUUCUGUUUAGUUGUUCGAGACAGGUUUACACAGAGUCCGCUUAAAACUAGUUUUUAUUCAGUGUUUUUGUCCCUCGAGCUGUAACAAUAAAUGCUAUUCUCAGGAGCCGAUUUAAGUGACAUCCAGCCAUGUCUGAGGAACCAUCAGCCAAAGUCCAGCUCCUUAGGAGCCAGAAGGCUAAACUCAUAGAUAUACUGAGUGGGGAUGCAGACUUCGUCCUGCAGCAUGCAGACUCUCGCUGCCUGCUGUCUCCUCAUGGCUACCAGCAGGUAAAGGCCUGCCGUGUUCCCAGUGAGAAGGUGACAGAGUUGCUGGAUCACAUCAUCCAGAGAGGUCCUGAAGCUGUGCAGGGUCUGCUGGACCUACUGAAUGAGCAGACCCUGCAGGAAACCUUCCCAAUGCUUAGCUUUACAAAGGAUCUGCAGGUCAAUGUGCUGUCUCCAGGUUUCUGUUUGCACAAGGAAUAAAAGAAACGAUAAAAAGGAAACCAGGUCCUUGUUUAGAAGAGACUGUUUCAUCUAAAAAGAUAAGCAGAAGUUCCAUCUUAGUGAAGGAGAAGCAGCUGAUGAUCUUGGCUCGCACCAUUGGUAGAUCUUGGAGGGAGAUAGGCAGACUGGCUCUGGACAUCCCCUCUGUGAAGCUGGAACAGAUUGAAGAAGACCAUUUCCUCCACGUGGAGCGAGUAUUUGCCAUGCUGCGUCUCUGGCGUACCUGUCAGAAGGAAAAAGCCACUGCUGCUCACCUGCACUCUCGGCUCAGUCAGGAAGGCGUAGGCCUGUCAUCUGAAAGCAUUGACUUCCUGCUGGAGUCUGACUAAGGCCUUAUUUUUUCUAUUAAGAUUUUUAUCUGAGUUUUUAAUCUGUGUUUUUCAUCAGAUACAGUACUUUUGUGCCAGAAAAGAGAAACAAAUGUUCUCACUCUAUGGAUUUACCUUACAGUACCAUUAAGUACCCAAAGAAAAGGGCCUCUUGCUAAUGGACAAUUUGAAAAGGCCUACUUCUCACAACACUACUCAGUGGUUUGUUUUAUAAACUGUGCAUGAAACAUGUUUUCUUAUUGGUUGUGCCUUAAUGAUGGAUAUUUAUGCUGGCUGUGUUGAGAAAACAACUUGGCAAACUAAGUUAAAAUUAAAUGUUAAUACACAUGGGCAUUCAAUUAGGAAGACAAUUCUUUUUCUUGAUUUGUAUGUUUUUUUUUUCCUAGUGAGGCUCAAAAUUUUAAAAAAGAAAGUUUACUUUGUGGUAUUCAAUUAUGUUUUUCUGAAGUAUUUUUAAGCAUAUCUUUUUAUUAUAUUAACUGGAUGUUUAAGGGUACAAGUUUUAUAUGCUCUUUAUAUGGAAAAGUACCAAAUAUGUUUUUUAUUUAUUUGGGACUGUAUCAAUUAGGCUGACUUGUAGCAGUUCCAAUAUCAAGUUCCUAAUGGUGUAAAUAUUUUUGAUAUCACAUGAAGUAGACCACAUGAUGUGCCAUAAACCAUCUUU